rnacentral:rRNA from 1 species
UACAGAGGUCCCAAGCGUUGUUCGGAUUCACUGGGCGUAAAGGGUGCGUAGGUGGCAAGGUAAGUUUGAUGUGAAAUCUCCGGGCUUAACCCGGAAACUGCAUUGAAUACUAUCUUGCUUGAGGGUUGGAGGGGGGACUGGAAUUCUCGGUGUAGCAGUGAAAUGCGUAGAUAUCGAGAGGAACACCAGUGGCGAAGGCGAGUCCCUGGACAACUCCUGACACUGAGGCACGAAAGCUAGGGGAGCAAACAGG